AAGGAUGUGUGAAAGUUUUAGAGAU
rnacentral:piRNA from 1 species